rnacentral:lncRNA from 1 species
UCAGAUUUAUAAAUAAAGUAUUUGGUUAAAACCAGUAUAGCAUGUAAGUACUCGCUAGUCGAGAGUAAUCACUGAUCGACAAAGAAGUCAAAUCUAGUCCACAAAAGAAAAAACAUAAUGGUUCGAAGAAAUCCACGGCGGGUAAUAAGACCGAGGCCUAGGACAAGACCUCGCUGUCUUCAGUCCAGACGUCAAACCAUCAGGCUGGAGUAUGCUGAGCUAUAUUGGAUGCUCAGGAUUCGACGGUUGAGGAUUAUUAUGUGACCUGUUUGGAACUGAAAAUAAUUAAAACUUUUUGUCUUUU